UACGUGAGGGUGCGAGCGUUGUCCGGAAUUAUUGGGCGUAAAGAGCUUGUAGGCGGUUUUGUCGCGUCUGCCGUGAAAGUCCGGGCUCAACUCCGGUAUCUGCGGUGGGUACGGGCAGACUAGAGUGAUGUAGGGGAGACUGGAAUUCCUGGUGUAGCGGUAGAAAUGCGCAGAUAUCAGGAGGAACACCGAUGGCGAAGGCAGGUCUCCGUGGGCAUUAACUGACGCUGAGGAGCGGAAAGCAUGGGGAGCGAACAGG
rnacentral:rRNA from 1 species